AGUCCACAAUAUCAUUAAAACGCAUUAGGGCCUCUAACUACUUGUGCUCUUCCUAGCACCUCAUGAUGUGUUAGUUCGAGCAUGUUAGAGUAUAUAACAUAUUCUGAAACCUUAAUUAUCAUCUUAAAUUUUUGGUUGAGUUGAUUUCUUGACUUGGUAUCAGAGCAUAUGUGACAAAAAGGUCACGAAUUCUAAUCUCAACCACCCCUUAAUUUUCCUCCAUGUUUUUAUGAAAAGCAAUUAAAAUAUUUUUCUCUAGAUUUUUACCCUAGACAAAUAUGAUUUAUGAGUACUUACAUGUAAAAUAAUAGAGCAAUUAAUGGGCCUAAAUCGAUGAAAUGAUUCUACAUGUAAAGUUGUUUAGUGAUGAUCUAGGUUCCGUUUUUAGUUUAAUGAAUUAAUUAUGACACACUUGAGUUAGUUUAAAAUACCAAGCCAUAAAGAGAAAGUUAAGCAAGAAGCCACAAAUCAAAUGUCCGAAGUGAUA